GAUGAAGAACGUAGUGAAAUGCGAUACGUAAUGUGAAUUGCAGAAUUCAGUGAAUCAUCGAGUCUUUGAACGCACAUUGCGCCCGCUAGUAUUCUGGCGGGCAUGCCUGUCCGAGCGUCAUUUCAACCCUCAAGCCCCCGGGCUUGGUGUUGGGGAUCGGCGAGCCUCCGCGCCCGCCGUCCCCUAAAUCUAGUGGCGGUCUCGCUGUAGCUUCCUCUGCGUAGUAGCACACCUCGCACUGGGAAACAGCGCGGCCACGCCGUUAAACCCCCAACUUCUGAACGUUUGACCUCGGAUCAGGUAGGAAUACCCGCUGAACUUAAGCAUAUCAAUAAGCGGAGGA
rnacentral:misc_RNA from 1 species